rnacentral:rRNA from 1 species
CGUUGCGAUGCGCGCAGCCUGACGCAGCCUGCCGCGUGAGGGAUGACGGCCUUCGGGUUGUAACCUCUUUCUCAGGGACGAAAAUGACGGUACCUGUAGAAUAAGCACCGGCUAACUUCGUGCCACCCGCCGCGGUAAUGAGCUAGC